rnacentral:rRNA from 1 species
UACGUAGGGUGCGAGCGUUAACCGGAAUUACUGGGCGUAAAGCGUGCGCAGGCGGUUUUGUAAGCCCGAUGUGAAAUCCCCGGGCUUAACCUGGGAAUGGCAUUUGGGACUGCAAGGCUUGAGUGCGGCAGAGGAGACUGGAAUUCCUGGUGUAGCAGUGAAAUGCGUAGAUAUCAGGAGGAACACCGAUGGCGUAGGCAGGUCUCUGGGCUGACACUGACGCUCAUGCACGAAAGCGUGGGGAGCAAACAGG